UUUCCAAAGUGAAUCCAGUGCUGAUGGAAGGUGCUGGUCUAUUUGACUCCUGCUGGAGUGGGUUUCUGAGGGGCUCAGCACAGACCUACCAGUGGCUUCCCCAUUAUGAAGAGGGAAGUAGCUAAAUACAGAAGCCAAAUGAAAGGUGCCGGGAUGAAAGUGAGGGCGAGACUGAAUGUGACCUGGCCUGGGGCCGAGUCACAAGACGAGGCAGACCGCCGCGGGCCCAGAGCAGGUGGUGCCAAAUGAGGAGAGCCUGCUACACCAGGCCUGCCACGAGGGGGUGCCAGUGAUCGUCAGAAUCCGGGGCUGCCUGCCAAGGUGGUGAAUCAUGAGGCUUUGAAAUCAAGCACCAAACCAGAUGCAAAUGCCUGCACCAUUUUAAGCCCUGCAUUCUGCAGCGGGUAACGUCCCGAUUGACGGCGAGGAGAGCCGGGCCCGCGCACGCGGUGGCCGCUCAGUUCUUUGAAUGCAGCUGUAAAGUUCCGCCUCCCCGUUUUAUUUUUAGGUAUUAAAGGCAGCAGAUGGAAUCCAUAACAAAACCACAGGGAAUGACUUGCUUUUCAGUUUAAAGGGGACUCUUGCUCGUUAGCUUUAUCUCCAGGAGCUGGAUUCACAAUCUUAACUCGCCUUCAUGCCAAAAGGGGCCAGAACUGGCCCCUUGGGAAUCUCCCCAUGGAGUGGCCCUCCCCAAUUAGAGUGGAGCUGAUGAGGGUCCUGCUCCCAGCCCCCGCAACAGAGGGUGGAUCAGGGGCACAGCUACCGUGCAGUGUGCUGUAGCUAUCCUCCACUUCCCCGGGGAAUCAGAGAGCAACUCGGAGCAGCCUUGAGGUUGCUCUAACUCCUACUCCAAUUUAUACGGGAAGCCAGGUGGGCCUCUGCCCAGACCAAGAAUACAAGGAGCACAAAGGAGUCGUGAAGCCCCAGAUACAGGAACAAAGUGACUGAGAAGCAGGUGCCUGUAUCUAUAAAGAUCAGAAGCCCGGUAAAG